UACGGAGGGUGCAAGCGUUAUCCGGAUUCACUGGGUUUAAAGGGUGCGUAGGCGGGCAUUUAAGUCAGUGGUGAAAUACCUGAGCUUAACUUGGGAACUGCCAUUGAUACUAUUGUCUUGAAUGUCGUGGAGGUUAGCGGAAUAUGUCAUGGUAGCGGUGAAAUUGCUUAGAUAUGACAUAGAACACCUAUUGCGAAGGCAGCUAACUACGCGAAUAUUGACGCUGAGGCACGAAAGCGUGGGAUCAAACAGG
rnacentral:rRNA from 1 species